CCUACGGGCGGCUGCAGUGGGGAAUUUUGGACAAUGGGCGCAAGCCUGAUCCAGCCAUGCCGCGUGCAGGAUGAAGGCCUUCGGGUUGUAAACUGCUUUUGUACGGAACGAAAAGACUCCUUCUAAUAAAGGGGGUCCAUGACGGUACCGUAAGAAUAAGCACCGGCUAACUACGUGCCAGCAGCCGCGGUAAUACGUAGGGUGCGAGCGUUCAUCGGAAGUACUGGGCGGGUUAUGUGCGCAGGCGGUUAAAUCCCCGGGCUCAACCUGGGAACUGCAUUUGUGACUGUAUAGCUAGAGUACGGUAGAGGGGGAUGGAAUUCCGCGUGUAGCAGUGAAAUGCGUAGAUAUGCGGAGGAACACCGAUGGCGAAGGCAAUCCCCUGGACCUGUACUGACGCUCAUGCACGAAAGCGUGGGGAGCAAACAGGAUUAGAUACCCCGGUAGUC
rnacentral:rRNA from 1 species